rnacentral:tRNA from 1 species
GUCCCCGUAGCUCAAUUGGAUAGAGCAACAGCCUUCGAAGCUGUAGGUUGCUGGUUCAAUCCCAGUCGGGGACG